UACAGAGGUCUCAAGCGUUGUUCGGAUUCAUUGGGCGUAAAGGGUGUGUAGGUGGCGCCGUAAGUCGGGUGUGAAAUUUCGGAGCUUAACUCCGAAACUGCAUUCGAUACUGCGGUGCUUGAGGACUGGAGAGGAGACUGGAAUUUACGGUGUAGCAGUGAAAUGCGUAGAUAUCAGGAAGAACACCAAUGGCGAAAGCAGCUUCUGGGACGGUACUGACGCUGGAGACGCGAAAGCGUGGGGAGCGAACAGG
rnacentral:rRNA from 1 species